UCCCUUGCAACUUCUGUUGCUAUGACGGAGAUUACACAACUAGAUUUUUCGUAGACAUGUAGCCUGUGUUGCAGCCAAUCGUCACAGUUCGAACAUUCGUACGAAAUAGAUGACAAAGUAACAACCUGUCAAGUGCCAGCAAGACUAAAGCUUGUAUGAAAUAAAAUUUGUGUUGUGUUGGAUUCCUGAACAAGAGCUUGUUGUAAUAAUGUCAUGGUCUGAAUGAGUGCUUCCUCAACAUAGGCCUCUUCAUUCAGGUACGCACUGAACGAGAAGAAACCGCAUGUCGCUGUGAAGGUCAUGUCGGCUGCAUCAAAUCAAAAGGUGCGCCGUCCCGAGUGCACGGUAUACAUCCUACUCAUCAAUACCAUAGACAAUGAAAAUGUACUGCCGACUAUCGACGCAGUGUUGAUGAUGAUCGAAUCUGGAAGAAGUCUUAUGAUGACGAUCUUUACGGCUAAAACCGUUCUCGAACGACAAAGUGACGCGCUCCUCCGAAGUAAGCCAUUCGACAGACGAUCCCGAUGACGCCAACGAUGCUUUUCUAUGUCACACGCGCCAUUGUGUGUGACUUCAUCAAAUUAUCGAUAAACGUAUUAUAUGAUAAAAAAAUAAACAAUGUGCUGUUUACAAAAGCUAACUUUAUUAGUACAUAGAUUUGUUUGUGCCUUUUUCGCGACCGAAGGGACCAAAUGUGAUUCGAAAUCUGAAUCCAAAAGCAGCAUGCAAGAGACACUAUAGAAAAGAGGCAAAUAGGGAUCUGGUAGAGAGAGCAUUUACUUUGCACCAGACUUCGUUUUAAGUCUUGGUCAACCGGAAGGCGCUUAAAAAGAUUAAAGGGGGCCCAAAAUGACCUUAGUAAGAUUUAUAACAUGGAGUCGUUUACAACAAACAUACACUUAUUUCAUAUUUAUAUUAAUAUUUUAAGUUUUCGGAUCAACGAAAACUAAUAAAAUGUAGACUAAAAAAUCAUACCCAAAUCGACUUAAUAGGAAUCCUGCAUGCGUCGUACAAGAAAAUUUAGUUAAUACUGAUACAUAAUAACGCGCUGUGUCUUACUUACACACAUGUUAGAUGUUAAUAAAUUUAACGAA